rnacentral:tRNA from 1 species
GGGGGUAUAGUUCAGUGGUAGAAUGUAUACUUAGUAGGCACAAGACCCUAGGUUCAAUCCCCAGUAUCUCCA